rnacentral:lncRNA from 1 species
ACCCUCCACCGGCGUCGCCCCGUGCUCCGGCGAGCAUCCCCGCCGACCGCCGCCGUCGCGCGCGCCGCCGCUGCUGCUCCUGCAGUCUGCAACAACCCAGGCCGAGCUCUGGCCGAGGUGGGUUGCAUCUGCUGCCCGCGCGCCGCCACCGCCUGGGACCUCUCCCGCCGACGUCCUCGGAGCCCGGGCACCCCUUCCCGCCGGUCGCCGCCUCCCCGGUGCGCCGCCGUCGCCGCCUCGGCCAGCCGCAGCCGCCCCAGCCCCGCUCUGGCCGAGGCGAGCGUGCGACGCUCCCCCUGCGCCGCCGCCGCUUGGGUCCGCACCCGAGGCACUCUUUCGGCCCCGUGAAGCCCGCCUCCGCCGUCCCGAAGCUCCCCGGCCGCCG